rnacentral:rRNA from 1 species
UUCGGGUGAGGCAAGCGUUGUUCGGAAUCACUGGGCUUAAAGCGCGCGUAGGCGGCUUGUCAAGUCAGGGGUGAAAUCCUGAGGCUUAACCUCAGAAUUGCCUUUGAAACUAGCAGGCUGGAGUGUCGGAGGGGAUAGCGGAAUUCCUAAUGUAGAGGUGAAAUUCGUAGAUAUUAGGAGGAACACCGGUGGCGAAGGCGGCUAUCUGGACGACAACUGACGCUGAGGCGCGAAAGCGUGGGGAUCAAACAGG